rnacentral:rRNA from 1 species
GACGAACGCUGGCGGCGUGCUUAACACAUGCAAGUCGAACGGAAAGGCCCUGCUUUUGUGGGGUGCUCGAGUGGCGAACGGGUGAGUAACACGUGAGUAACCUGUCCUUGACUUUGGGAUAACUUCAGGAAACUGGGGCUAAUACAGGAUAGGAGCUCCUGCUGCAUGGUGGGGGUUGGAAAGUUUCGGCGGUUGGGGAUGGACUCGCGGCUUAUCAGCUUGUUGGUGGGGUAGUGGCUUACCAAGGCUUUGACGGGUAGCCGGCCUGGGAGGGUGACCGGCCACAUUAGGACUGGGAUACGGCCCAGACCCCUACGGGAGGUAGCGGUGGAGAGUAUUACACAAUGGGCGGGAGCCUGAUGCGGCAACGCCGCGUGCGGGAUGACGGCCUUCGGGUUGUAAACCGCUUUCGCCUGUGACGAAGCGUGAGUGACGGUAAUGGGUAAAGAAGCACCGGCUAACUACGUG